AGCGGGGCGUGUUGGGCUUUAUUUAAAGUCAACUUCCUCAAGACAAGGAGAGUGGGGUGGGAGAUGGAACUUCCUCUGUGGUUCACCCCAGGACCUCACUCUGGCCUAGGAAUGCCCCUUCCUCAGGAUCAGCCCCCAGGACCAGGCCUCCAGAGUCCCCACCCCCUACAGUGAGUUCAAUGGAGACCCCUGGGACAAAGAAGAGAAAGAAGAACCAGAAGACUGCAAUGAAGACGAUUUAGAAAGGGAAAUUAGGGCAUGGUCACCUUGGCAUGCCCCUCCCAACUAUGGGCCAGAAAACACAGGAAAUGACGGCAGAGCACGUAAGCUCUUAGAGAGGAACCUCCCACAGUCAGCGUCCAGCCUAGACAGAGGCCAAAAUUUCUGGGGCUGUGAUCAGGCAGGGAACUACUAUAUAUAUUGAUUGCCAACCAUGAACAGGUUGGGUGAUCCACAUUUGACCCUCAAACAACCAAGCAGAGUUGGCACCUUUACCAGUUUCAUCUUGUAGAAGGAAAACCUGAGGCUCACAGGGGUUAAGGGGUCCCCCAAAUCUUAAUCCAGAGCCCUUUGCCUGCCUGGAAUGAGGGCUGAUAUGGUUUGGUUCUGUGUCCCCACCCAAAUCUCACCUUGAAUUGUAAUCACUAGUUGUCAAGGAAGGGACUUGUAAUCCCCACGUGUUGAGGGAGGGAGGUGAUUGGAUCAUGGGGGCAGUUUCCUCCAUGCUGUUCUCAUGAUAGUGAGUUCUCAUGAGAUCUGAUGGUUUUUAUAAGUCACUUUUCCCUGCUCUUGCACGCUCUCUCUUGCCUGCUGCUAUGUAAGACAUGUCUGCUUCCCCUUCUGCCAUGAUUGUAAGUGUCCUGAGGCCUCCCCAGCCAUGUGGAAAUAUGAGUCAAUUAAACCUCUUUCCUUUAUAAAUUACCCAGUCUCAGGUAUUUCUUCAUAGCAGUGCAAAAGCGGACUAAUACAGGGGCCAAAAGUGCACAAGAUCUAUGUCAUCCUGAUUGGUAAUACUGAGGUCACUCCAAUUGGUAGCCCUGUCCCAUAACCUCUAAGUAAGGCAGAGUCAUUGCUGACUAUUCUGAGAGGCUGUUCCUUUCUCCUCUGGGUUCCCUUUCCAACUAGUUCCUUCCCUCCCAGCUCCAGUGUUAUUUUUCUUUUGUGAUUGUUUUUCUGAAAAUGAUGUUGUAGACACCUCCUUGUCCCAGCCACAAUCCUUACUAUAUUCAAUUAUCCUGGUUUCUUAGGCUCUUUAAAGCUACUUUAUUGCUCUCUCCUUGCUGUGACCCUAAUCUUUGUUUUUCCUCUAGCUUUCUCCAGGGUUAUUGCUUGUCAAGACAAAGGUCACCACAGACUCAAAAGAAACAGGGAAAUAAACAAUAGAAGGCUGGCUUCUGGCUGUCAAGUUUGUUUUCACCAACAUUAAAUUGAUAGAUGAAUAUGGAGGUGCCCCGCCACUUAUCCUAUCUCUUCUCAAGCUACAUCUUGCCAGACCCUAGUCUCAGAAAUAACAGUCUACUAACAUAACAUGAUAUAACAUUUUCCCAGUGUACUUUCAUACACAUGAACUUCUUAAUUAAUUCUGAAAAUUGUUCUGUAGUGUAGGUAGAGUAGGUAGUAUUGUUCCCAUUUUACAGGUAAAGAAACAGAGGAGAUAGAAAGCUGAACUUCUAACUCUAGACAAGAUAGAGUAGCCCCAUUUCUCCUGAGUCCACCAUCUUACAACUAAAAAAAAAAAAAUCUCUGGACAUGACACAACAAAGAAGCAUAAGAGUUCCCUUCUCUCUUACCCUGUUACCAGCAGGGGCCAGUGGAGAGCUGAGCUUCUGCCCCACUCUGCCACAACAAAACAGUGGGAGCCAGUUCUCUGGUUCUCCCAUCUCUGGGUCAGCAGAGCCUAGCAGGGUAGCUUGGAUACAAUAAGACAGUGCAAGCCGAUGAUGCAUUUUCAAUGGGAAGGUAUCAUCAAGGCAGAGAUGGGAGUUCACUGCCAACCACCCAUUUGCAAUGAAGCAGGGUAAAUCAGUGCUACACUUUUGUCACGAUAGCACUGGUGGGGCCCAGUGGGAGGUUGAAUAUACAACUCAUCCAACCUGAUAUGGUUUGGAUUUGUGUCCCCACCCAAAUCUCACGUUGAAUUGUAAUCUCCAGUGUUGGAGGUGGGGCCUGGUGAGAGGUGCUGGGAUCAUGGGGGUGGUUUGCCAUGAAUGGUUAACACCAUCCCCCUUGGAGUUCUCGUUGCAAUAGUGAGUUCUCGUGAAAUUGGGUUGUUUGAAAAUAUGUGGCACCUCCACCCCUCUCAUUGCCUCCUGCUCUGGCCAUGUGAGACAUCUCACUCCCUGUUUGCCUUCCACCAUUACUGGAAGCUUCCUGAGUCCUCCCCAUAAGCAGAAGCUGCUAUGCUUCCUGUACAGCCUAUAGAACUGUGAACCAAUUAAACAUCUUUUCUUUAUAGAUUACCCAGUCUCAGGUAUUUUUUUUAUAGCAGUGCAAGAACAGACUAAUACACAACCGUUACGCUACAUCUUAACAGGAAGACAGUCUGCCAAAAAAGAAAAGUUGAAUAGGAUCCAGACUCUCAUAAUAUAAUACCUAAAAUGUCCAGGAUAGAGCAGACAAUCAUUUAUCAUGUCAAGGAAAAGGAAAAUUACAACUUGAAUGAAAAAACAAACAGGCACCAAAAUGCAAAUGAAUCAGAGGGAUUAUCACAAAUUUAAAAGCAGUCAUUACAAAAAUGCUUCAAAUGUAGUUAUGAAUUCUCUUGAAACAAACGAAAAAUAGAAAAUUUCAAUAAAAAUCAAGGUUAUAAAAAAGAACCAAAUGGAAUUAAGGAACUGAAAAACACAAUAACCAGGAAAAAGAUAAAUAAAACACGUCACUAGAUGGGCUUGAUAGUAGAGUAGAGAUGACAGAGAUUGAACCUGUGAAGUCAAGAACAGACCAAUAGCAUUCACUCAGUCAGAAUAAUAGAGAGAAAAUAGGCCGGGCGCGGUGGCUCACGCCUGUAAUCCCAGCACUUUCGGAGGCCGAGGCAGGCAGAUCACGAGGUCAGGAGAUUGAGACGAUCCUGGCUAACACAGUGAAAUCCCACCUCUACUAAAAAUACAAAAAAUUUAGCCGGGCGUGGUGGCGGGCGCCUGUAGUCCCAGCUACUCGGGAGGCUGAGGCAGGAGAAUGGCAUGAACCCGGAAGACGGAGCUUGCAGUGAGCCGAGAUCACGCCGCUGCAGUCCAACCUGGGCGACAGAGCGAGACUCCGUCUCAAAAAAAAAAAAAAAUAGACGGAAGAAAUAACAGUCCCAGGGACCUGUGAGACAAUAAGAAAAGAGCUAACAGCCAUACCUUCUGAGUCCCAAAGGAGAAGAGAGUGAGACUAAAAGUAUUCAAAGAAGUAGUGGUUAAAAACUUCUCAAAUUUGGAGAAAGACAUAAACCUACAGAUUCAAGAAGUUUAGUGGAUUCCAAGCAGGCUAGAUGUAAAGAAAUCCACAUCAUAAUUAAAUAGUUAAACUAAAGACAAAAACAUAUUGAAAGCAGUCAGAAAGAAAUAACACAUUUAUGACAUGGGAAAAAUUAAUUGCAAUGAUAGUGGAUUUCCCAUCUGAAAUGAUGGAGGCCAGAGGAAGUGGCUCAGCAUCUUUCAAGUACUGAGAAAAAGAACUGUCAACUGUGAAUACUGUAUCUGGUGAAAACAUCCUUCAGAAAUGAAGGAGAAAGCAAAACAUUCUUGGAUGAAGAAAAACUAAGAGCAUUUAUUGUUGGCAAAUGUAUCUUUAAAGAUUGGGUAAAGAAUGUUAUCUGAACAGAAGCUUUUAUUUAAAAAUUAUACCUUCUAUUUCUGGACUGAGAUUUUUCCACUUUUCUCAUUGGUUUCAAGAAUGCUUGGAGCUCCAGAAAAGAAAAACAAACUAUGGGAAGUACAUAAAUAGAAAUAAAUACAACAGACUAUACUUCUCAUGAGUAUCUGAAAUCAUAUUUGAUGAUUGAAGCAAAAAUUGUAACAGCAUCUUAUGUGAUGUUCAAUAUAUGUAAAGAACACACUCAAGACACAUAUAUUUUUAAGUGGGGAAGCUAAAGAGAACUAAAUGGAAGUAAGGUUUCUACACUUACUCAAAGUGGCAGUGUCAACACCAGUAGCUUGUGGUAAGUUGUGUAUGUAUGUCAUAAUCUCUAUAGUGACCAAUAAUUUUACAUAAUCUCUCCCAGAAAAUAGGAGGGGAAGGAACACUUACCACCACAUUUUAUGAAGCUAAUAUUACCCUGAUACUAAAACCAGAAAAAGACAGUGAAAAAAAAAAAAAAGAAAGAAAAGUAGAUAUCAAUAUCUUUUCAGCGACUUUUGACCCAAGAUGCGUAGCCCUGGGGCUUUCUGUGCUCCUCGGCCCCUUGGUCUCCACGCAGAGGCUCCUGGGCUCACUCUCUCCUCCCAUCUCCUCUUCUAGGAAGCAUUGAUGCGGCUGUCCAGCCUGUUGGAUCAGCUGCAACCCACCCUGGUCUGUGAGUUAAUGUUUCAGUGACCCAGCUUCUCAUCUUGCGUCGUUGCAAACACUCCAGGUCCCCAGCCAGCUUUCAGUAGGGCAGGGGAAAAAGAGUAUGGACUGAGGGGUCUCCCUGGGCUGGGCCGAGCAGGAGGAGGCUGAGCAGUGAAAACGGUGACCCCUGCCCUCACGGAGCUAACGAGAAGAGCAAAUGGCUGGCAACGGUGCAUGACACAGAAUGAGCAACGGGCUGCACACAUCGCGAUUUACGUGGCUUUGGAAAAAACGCGUCUCACAAGUUGGGGCUGUCAUACAUUGGCUUCUUGGUAAUCAAUGCGUUUCAGCAAUAUAUGGGGGUGAGUUUAGUUUCCAGUUGGCUUCCCUGAGGGUGUUGGAUAAAAUUGCAAUUUAGAUUCAAUCAAUACACAUUUAGUGAGCACCUAUUCUUUGCCUGAACGAUUGUGGGCAUUGUGGGGGAUACAAAGGGAGACAUCGUGGGUGGAGCUUACCAUGGAAACAACUGUCUCUUGCUCCAUGGUGUUUACCUUGCCUUGGAAAAUAAACAACGUAAACAUUUUUUUGUGACAACGGAGACAGGAUUGAGAGACUUGCACAGACUUCCUUUCCCAAAACUUCUGCAGACUAAAAUUCUACCAUUAGCUAUUAAUUUCUUUGACUAAAUUUUGUCCUCACUCUGCAGUUUCUUUUUUCUAAAGUAAAAAUACUUCUAGAAAGAGAACACGACGUCCUUAACCUCUUAAAACAGAAAUGACAUAUAAAUCGACUUGCACACCAAUUUGGGCCCUUGGAUAUUUGUUGCCUGAAGAGCUGUGUUGAAAAGGCCUCUGAGGCUCAAUCUGGCCUCUGAUGCAAAGAAUGUCGAUCGAUUGCUGAUGUCUGCCCUGAGUGCUGGAAGGGAGGAUGGCAUUUACUAUCCCUGCCUUAAAUUAGAGGAGCUUAUGGGGUUCUUCCCCAACUAUAACAAGAGGGGUUAAAUGAACACUAAUCAUCUGAUAGGACAGCCACUGAAGGAGGUGAGGGGAAUUUAAGAAGGAAAGGCUGUGACUGCCAAUCUCCUAAUGUCACCUGCAUGGCCGUCAGUCACCUGCAGCCCUUGUCAGUGCACCCAAAGCCUUUGCAGAUGUCAACCCAGCUGGCUUUCCAGCCAUGUCUCACCAUACCCCAGUGCUCCUCUGCUCCAGCCCCACUGAACUCUGCCAGACCUGGACGUGCCCUUAUACAUGUGCUUCCUAGACAUCCCAGAACAUCUGUGCCCAUUGUCUCUGCACAGGGAAUUCUUAUGUAACUCCAUGAACACCUACCCUAAGUGUCACUUCCUGUGAGAAGUCCUCCCUGAUUCACUCCCUCCUCUGUUUACCCACCCACUGGAGACCCAGCUCUGCAUGGCAGUCUUCACACUCUAUCAUCUUUGUCCUUCCUUCUUUUUUUUUUGAGUCAAGCUUUCACUCUGUCGCUCAGGCUGGAGUGUAGAUCACAGCUCGCUGCAGCCUCCAACUCAGCUAAAGCGAUCCUUCCUCCUCAGCCUCCAGAGCAGCUGGGACUACAGGUGCAUGCCACCAUGCCCAGGUAAUUUUUUUCUUUUUUGUAGAGACAGGGUCUUGCAAUGUUGCCCAGGCUGGCCUCGAACUCCUGGCCUCAAGCACCUCCCACUUCGGCCUCCCAAAGUGCUGGGAUUAUAGGCAUGAGCCACUGUGUCCAGCCCAUCCUUGUCCUUUCACAUGUGUCACCUUUCUCGUGAGACUAAGAGGUCUGUGGGAGCAGGGUUAGUGCCUGGUCUCUGUGAUCCAGUCCCCAGCCCCAGGCCUGACACACAGCUGGUGCUCAACAACCACUGGCUGAAUAUUGGAAUGAAUAAAUGAACGAACUUUGUCAGUGUGGCAGAUGCUAUGCCUAUGCUGAGACUGCUGUUUUUUCACAUGCCCCUGCUUCUCCUGUGUUCCUGCAGUAGCACACUGCCGGUGGUAAAUGAAUCCCCAAGUAUGAAUGCUUCACAGAACAAAGUUUAAUUUCCCCUCCCACAAAGUCCAGUGCAGAUUGUGCAGCCCUCCGGAACACUUGUCUUGGUAUUAACCACAUCUUUUAUUUCCUGCAUUCCAAUGCUCUGACAUCUGGGGCCUCGCUGACCCCCUAGAGUUAGCCAAUUUCUAGAGAUACAAGUUGCCAUGACAGCACUUUUCAGAUGCAAACAACCCACCCAAACCAAACAAAGCCUUCUUUUCCCUCCACCUCCUAACUGACCUUGGUGCUUCCCCGUGUGGCUCUGUGUGGCGUGGCAGGCGGUGUCCCCUCCUCCUGGGAACUGCUUCCACUGAGUGACUCAGCGAUCCAGUCUGCUUUCAUAGGUGGCUCUAAUGAGGCAGAAAUUUAAAAAUAAAUAUGCAUUCAUUCACUCCAAGAAAAGUAACAGGCAAGGGUUCACAAGAAAAAAAGAAGUUUUCCUCUGCCUAGCAAGCACACUUCAAGGACAGUUAUAAGAUAAUGCUGUACGAGCAGCCAAGGCCAAAGGAAUGGGCUUCAGACACCCCUCUCCCCCAGAGCAAUGUUGAAGGAAAAAAAAAGAGAAAAAGAUAAAUUACUUUACUGUUACUCCUUUCCCAGGCUUCUUAAACGUGAUUAUGUUUUACAAAUGUCUGUAUUUAGCCAGUUCUUGUUUUUCUUUUGACGCAGCUACAAGGCCACAAAUUAUACACUAUAUGAUUAACUGCUUUUGUUUUACUUUUGUAAGUCUGCUUAUAAAAACCCCACUCAGUCGUUGUUCAAUGCUCAGCUUUUUGGAUGCGAAUCCACUGAGCCAGUGCGUACCUAAAAUAAACAAUCCUCCCGUUCUCCGUAUCGGUCUC
rnacentral:lncRNA from 1 species